CCAGACAGCCAGGAUGUUGGCUUAGAAGCAGCCAUCAUUUAAAGAAAGCGUAAUAGCUCACUGGUCGAGUCGGCCUGCGCGGAAGAUGUAACGGGGCUAAACCAUGCACCGAAGCUGCGGCAGCGACACUUUAGUGUUGUUGGGUAGGGGAGCGUUCUGUAAGCCGUUGAAGGUGUCCUGUGAGGGGUGCUGGAGGUAUCAGAAGUGCGAAUGCUGACAUAAGUAACGAUAAAGCGGGUGAAAAGCCCGCUCGCCGGAAGACCAAGGGUUCCUGUCCAACGUUAAUCGGGGCAGGGUGAGUCGACCCCUAAGGCGAGGCCGAAAGGCGUAGUCGAUGGGAAACGGGUUAAUAUUCCCGUACUUGGUGUUACUGCGAAGGGGGGACGGAGAAGGCUAUGUUGGCCGGGCGACGGUUGUCCCGGUUUAAGCGUGUAGGUGUGUGUUCCAGGUAAAUCCGGUUCACUUUAACACUGAGGCGUGAUGACGAGGCACCACGGUGCUGAAGCAACAAAUGCCCUGCUUCCAGGAAAAGCCUCUAAGCAUCAGGUAACAUCAAAUCGUACCCCAAACCGACACAGGUGGUCAGGUAGAGAAUACCAAGGCGCUUGAGAGAACUCGGGUGAAGGAACUAGGCAAAAUGGUGCCGUAACUUCGGGAGAAGGCACGCUGACACGUAGGUGAAGUGAUUUACUCAUGGAGCUGAAGUCAGUCGAAGAUACCAGCUGGCUGCAACUGUUUAUUAAAAACACAGCACUGUGCAAACACGAAAGUGGACGUAUACGGUGUGACGCCUGCCCGGUGCCGGAAGGUUAAUUGAUGGGGUCAGCGCAAGCGAAGCUCCUGAUCGAAGCCCCGGUAAACGGCGGCCGUAACUAUAACGGUCCUAAGGUAGCGAAAUUCCUUGUCGGGUAAGUUCCGACCUGCACGAAUGGCGUAAUGAUGGCCAGGCUGUCUCCACCCGAGACUCAGUGAAAUUGAACUCGCUGUGAAGAUGCAGUGUACCCGCGGCAAGACGGAAAGACCCCGUGAACCUUUACUAUAGCUUGACACUGAACAUUGAGCCUUGAUGUGUAGGAUAGGUGGGAGGCUUUGAAGCGUGGACGCCAGUCUGCGUGGAGCCGACCUUGAAAUACCACCCUUUAAUGUUUGAUGUUCUAACGUGGACCCGUAAUCCGGGUUGCGGACAGUGUCUGGUGGGUAGUUUGACUGGGGCGGUCUCCUCCUAAAGAGUAACGGAGGAGCACGAAGGUUGGCUAAUCCUGGUCGGACAUCAGGAGGUUAGUGCAAUGGCAUAAGCCAGCUUGACUGCGAGCGUGACGGCGCGAGCAGGUGCGAAAGCAGGUCAUAGUGAUCCGGUGGUUCUGAAUGGAAGGGCCAUCGCUCAACGGAUAAAAGGUACUCCGGGGAUAACAGGCUGAUACCGCCCAAGAGUUCAUAUCGACGGCGGUGUUUGGCACCUCGAUGUCGGCUCAUCACAUCCUGGGGCUGAAGUAGGUCCCAAGGGUAUGGCUGUUCGCCAUUUAAAGUGGUACGCGAGCUGGGUUUAGAACGUCGUGAGACAGUUCGGUCC
rnacentral:rRNA from 1 species